UCCCGAUUAGCUCAGUUGGUAGAGCAGCGGACUGUUAAUCCGUUGGUCGCUGGUUCGAGUCCAGCAUCGGGAG
rnacentral:tRNA from 1 species